rnacentral:rRNA from 1 species
ACUCCUACGGGGAGGCAGCAGUGGGGAAUAUUGCACAAUGGGCGCAAGCCUGAUGCAGCCAUGCCGCGUGUAUGAAGAAGGCCUUCGGUUGUAAAGUACUUUCUAGCAGUGAGGAAGGUGGGUAUGUUAAUAGCAUACUCAUUUGACGUUAGCUGCAGAAGAAGCACCGGCUAACUCCGUGCCAGCAGCCGCGGUAAUACGGAGGGUGCGAGCGUUAAUCGGAAUUACUGGCGUAAAGCGCAUGCAGGUGGUUUGUUAAGUUCAGAUGUGAAAGCCCGGGGCUCAAACCUCGGAAUUGCAUUUGAAACUGGCAAACUAGAGUACUGUAGAGGGGGUAGGAAUUUCAGGUGUAGCGGUGAAAUGCGUAGAGAUCUGAAGGAAUACCGGU